AUGACACCGAAGCUGUAAACAUCACUUUUUUCUGUGAGUCUCCCUGUGCAGAAAUACAUAGGGUCUAAAUACCCUAUUGUGCCCUGCACCAUCGUUGUUGCACCUGAUUUAUCCACUGGAAUAUACCUUGAUGCUCCAAAAUCUGCUACCUUUGAGGCUAGAGUAUCAUCCAGAAGUAUGUUAGCGGACUUAAUAUCUCUAUGGAUGAUAGGUAUUGAUACAGUUGUGUGA
rnacentral:rRNA from 1 species